UUUUUUUUUUGGAUUUUCGGAUAGGGAUAAAUAAAUUACAGCAGCAGUAAGGUAGGAAACCAAAACCUGUUGCAAUUCAUGGGGAGAUCAAAGGUUGAUCUGCGGUGGUGGAGAUGAUGGUGGAAUUCGGCGACGAUCUUUUAAGCAAUUGUGGGAAUUGCUUUGGAUGGUUGUGGAGGGUUGAUGGAUGGCUGUGGAAGGG
rnacentral:lncRNA from 1 species